AUUGAACGCUGGCGGCAUGCCUUACACAUGCAAGUCGAACGGCAGCACGGGGCAACCUGGUGGCGAGUGGCGAACGGGUGAGUAAUGCAUCGGAACGUACCCGGAAGUGGGGGAUAACGUAGCGAAAGUUACGCUAAUACCGCAUAUUCUGUGCGCAGGAAAGAGGGGGAUCUUCGGACCUCUUGCUUUCGGAGCGGCCGAUGUCAGAUUAGCUAGUUGGUGAGGUAAAGGCUCACCAAGGCGACGAUCUGUAGCGGGUCUGAGAGGAUGAUCCGCCACACGGGGACUGAGACACGGCCCAGACUCCUACGGGAGGCAGCAGUGGGGAAUUUUGGACAAUGGGCGCAAGCCUGAUCCAGCCAUGCCGCGUGAGUGAAGAAGGCCUUCGGGUUGUAAAGCUCUUUCGGCUGGGAAGAAAUCGCAUCUCCUAGUACGGGGUGUGGAUGACGGUACCAGCAUAAGAAGCACCGGCUAACUACGUGCCAGCCGCCGCCGUAAAAC
rnacentral:rRNA from 1 species